AGUGAACGCUGGCGGUAGGCCUAACACAUGCAAGUCGAACGGCAGCACAGUAAGAGCUUGCUCUUACGGGUGGCGAGUGGCGGACGGGUGAGGAAUACAUCGGAAUCUACUUUUUCGUGGGGGAUAACGUAGGGAAACUUACGCUAAUACCGCAUACGACCUACGGGUGAAAGCAGGGGAUCUUCGGACCUUGCGCGAUUGAAUGAGCCGAUGUCGGAUUAGCUAGUUGGCGGGGUAAAGGCCCACCAAGGCGACGAUCCGUAGCUGGUCUGAGAGGAUGAGGAGCCAGACUGUAGUUGAGGCACGGACCAGGCGCCUACGGGAGGCGGCAGUGGGGUGGAUUGGAGAAUGGUGGCAGGCCUUAGGCAGAGUUACCGGGGAGGUCAAGGAGGCCUUCUACUCCGAGAGCACUUUUCUUGUGAAAGAAAAGCAGCCGGCGACUAAAAUGAUGUGCGGAGGGUACCCAAAGAGUGAGCUCCGGCUAAUUACGUG
rnacentral:rRNA from 1 species